CUCCUGACCUCAAGUGGUCUGCCUACCUUGGCCUCCCAGAGUGCUGGGAUUACAGGUAUAAGCCACCACACCUGACCAGCUAAGAUGUUAAGACUGGAUUUCAAACUGGCCUCACUCCCUCUACAGCUGGUGUGUUGACCACUUCCUGAUGUUUUGCAGCAGACAUGAGGUGAAACAAGGCAGACAGCAGGCAGGACCCAUGGAUGCUUCUUUCCCAGUGAGCUCCAGUACACUCCCAAGAGCUAAUCACCAAAACUGGUGCAAAUUAUGGAAAAACAUAGAAAAAAGCCAUGGAGGAUUAGAGGAGUGAAGAUGUGGGAGGAGGUGGUGAAGGGUUGGGAGGAGGGAGAUCAAGUCUUUCUGUUGCUGAGAUUCUGAAAGUGAGCUCACCAUAGUUGGUCUCAUCCACAGACAUUCUUACCUUUGGUCUUCUUUCAUCCUGAGAGUAAAGUCUAUCAUGCUUUAGGUCUCUCUACCAACAAGGUGGAAGAGUUUGAACUCUCACAUUAGCCAAAGGGGCUGCCACAAGGGAAAAAUUAUUUGAAGCCUUGUGUUUCAUCCUUGGAAACCAAGCAAAUUUUACAUCAUGCUUUAUCAUUUGUUUGUAUUUCUAUGUAUACAUUAUGAUUUAAACUACCAUGUUUCUCUGAUUAUAAAUGUGAUCGUUUAUAAGAAAUUUUAUAACAGCAUUGGGGUAAGGGAAACUACAUUCAUUAUGAGACACAUUCCAUUUUCAGAAAUGUUAAAACAUGGAAAAAUGUAUAAUUAGAGUUGAGGAAAUUCAGAAAGAUUCCUGCUUGUGGAAGAUGUGUCAUGCUUCUGUUGGGGCUAGGCCAGUCUUCUGAUAUCUAUUUGUGUCCAUGAGAGUAGGCACAUACUUCAGUAUGUGGGGCAAAAUCUCAGAUGUGUUCUUCAGUGACAGAGGUUUCUAAACAGCCACAUUCACUCCGUUCUAAGUCACCCUUAGUUGUAAAUUGCACUCACAAUGUAAUAAUAGUUUUUCAAGUAAAAAGAUAAAUACCAUAGUAGAUAAAUGUCUAUAUUGAUUAUAAAAUGCAUCCCAAUUUCAGAAACAUUAAAUCUUAAAAAAAAAAAAGCCUAUCUUAGAAGCAAGGACA